UUUGCCCUUUUCAGUUCAGGCACAGCGUGGGGCGAGCUGAGCCUUCCCUACAGAAGGCAGCUCCUGCUCCCAGCCCCGCUGCCCCGCUCGGGGCCGUGGGACCGGGGGGAGUCCAGGAAACCCGGCCGGGGAGAAGAGGAAACCGACGUGUGAGCUGCGGGUGGCUGUGCGUCAUGCCAGGCCUUUGGCUCUUGUUUCCUUCUCCUGAACUCGUGCAGUGUGCGCCGUUCUGUGCAGGAGAUGCCAUGGGGUAGGCUCCCUCCCUGCUGCAGACAGGUGGUGACCGGUUAUCCGGGUCCAUGCCACGCUCCAGCAGACUGCUUCCCUCUGGAAGUUCUCCUUCCCUCUGGAGAGCAGAUGUCCCACGAAGGAGCCGAUCGGAUCCAUUGGGGCUGGCCACGUGAAUGGCAAACUCUGCUCUGCAAAGCCUUGGAAAUGAAGCCCACCUGAAACCAAUCCCGGCUUUGGCCAGAGGGUUUCAAGGUGAUGUAUCAGAAAGAUGUACCUGUGUCCGACAGCGUCCUUUGCUUCCCUGCUAUUCUGAAGGAAUAUCUAGCGGGAAGAAUACCAGCUCAGCACUGAUGGCUCCUGGUGAUCCCACAAGGAGGGCUGCCUGCUCUCUGGCGCAGCAGAGGCCCCAGCAAGCGGAUGGUUUGCUGCUGUUCCUGCAGAACCCGCUGCAGCUCUGAGCAGGCCCCAGGCACCGCCCGCCGCCGUCCGCUCCCGCAGCAGCGCAGCCGCUCCCGUCCCAGUAAGAGCAGGAUUUCCAUCGGCGCUCUCAUGUCUGGAUGGAAACUGGGGCUGCAGCUCAUACAUAUACAGACUGAGCUGCUGGACCAGUAAUUCUUCUGUCUCUUUUUUUCUACUUGUAAGACGUGGCUCUGUAUUGAAUCUCUGAAAUUUGAAGGUCCAGGCCCCAGAAGCAGGGUGAUGAUCUGGAAUGUGCUGCGUCCCUCUUGGGUGCGUGGCUCUCCCCUCACUGCAGAAGAGGAAGGGGCUCCGUCCUUCGGGGGGAAAUUCCAGUUUGGGGUAAUGCAAAUGGGAACACCAUGUGUGUCCUUUUUCAUUCAAAUUACAUACAAAAAAAUUGUGAUACGAGCCAUGAGCAAAGGCAGAACAGAGCCUAGAGUCUUUAAUCUUUAAAAUCUAUUUUACAUGAUUAAAAGGAUCCUGCCUGGAGAAAAGCAAGACUGGCUAUUUAUAUCUCCAUUCUUCUCCCCCUUCUUUUUCCUCAGAAAAUACUGUGCAGUCUUUCACAUCUGAAAGACCACGGCUGGCUGCCAUUAAUUUUAAUGCUAAAUCCUCAUCAGCAUUUCAAAACAUUAUGAAAAUGUCGAAGAAACUGUCUUCUAGUAGCUUGAAAAUAUCGCAGGCAGCAACCUAAAUAAUACUGUAAGUGCCCUGGUAAGUACAAGAGCACAUGCUGGAGAGGAAAAGAGAAAAAGAAAAGGCUUUAGACCACCACGCAAACAUCACUUCUACAAAGCAGGCGUAAAUGGAUUGCAGGAUUUCAUGGAUGCUGAGAGUUUGAAUUACUGACUGAGCUGCACCUCUCUUAGAGAGAACGUGGCUUUUUUUUUUUUUUUAGGGAAU